GAGUUUGAUCCUGGCUCAGAUUGAACGCUGGCGGCAGGCUUAACACAUGCAAGUCGAGCGGGGAAGAGUAGCUUGCUACUUAACCUAGCGGCGGACGGGUGAGUAAUGCUUAGGAAUCUGCCUAUUAGUGGGGGACAACAUCUCGAAAGGGAUGCUAAUACCGCAUACGCCCUACGGGGGAAAGCAGGGGAUCUUCGGACCUUGCGCUAAUAGAUGAGCCUAAGUCGGAUUAGCUAGUUGGUGGGGUAAAGGCCUACCAAGGCGACGAUCUGUAGCGGGUCUGAGAGGAUGAUCCGCCACACUGGGACUGAGACACGGCCCAGACUCCUACGGGAGGCAGCAGUGGGGAAUAUUGGACAAUGGGGGGAACCCUGAUCCAGCCAUGCCGCGUGUGUGAAGAAGGCCUUUUGGUUGUAAAGCACUUUAAGCGAGGAGGAGGCUACCGAGAUUAAUACUCUUGGAUAGUGGACGUUACUCGCAGAAUAAGCACCGGCUAACUACGUGCCAGCAGCCGCGGUAAUACAGAGGGUGCGAGCGUUAAUCGGAUUUACUGGGCGUAAAGCGCGCGUAGGUGGCUAAUUAAGUCAAAUGUGAAAUCCCCGAGCUUAACUUGGGAAUUGCAUUCGAUACUGGUUAGCUAGAGUAUGGGAGAGGAUGGUAGAAUUCCAGGUGUAGCGGUGAAAUGCGUAGAGAUCUGGAGGAAUACCGAUGGCGAAGGCAGCCAUCUGGCCUAAUACUGACACUGAGGUGCGAAAGCAUGGGGAGCAAACAGGAUUAGAUACCCUGGUAGUCCAUGCCGUAAACGAUGUCUACUAGCCGUUGGGGCCUUUGAGGCUUUAGUGGCGCAGCUAACGCGAUAAGUAGACCGCCUGGGGAGUACGGUCGCAAGACUAAAACUCAAAUGAAUUGACGGGGGCCCGCACAAGCGGUGGAGCAUGUGGUUUAAUUCGAUGCAACGCGAAGAACCUUACCUGGCCUUGACAUACAGAGAACUUUCCAGAGAUGGAUUGGUGCCUUCGGGAACUCUGAUACAGGUGCUGCAUGGCUGUCGUCAGCUCGUGUCGUGAGAUGUUGGGUUAAGUCCCGCAACGAGCGCAACCCUUUUCCUUACUUGCCAGCAUUUCGGAUGGGAACUUUAAGGAUACUGCCAGUGACAAACUGGAGGAAGGCGGGGACGACGUCAAGUCAUCAUGGCCCUUACGGCCAGGGCUACACACGUGCUACAAUGGUCGGUACAAAGGGUUGCUAACCCGCGAGGUGGAGCUAAUCCCAUGAAACCGAUCGUAGUCCGGAUCGCAGUCUGCAACUCGACUGGGUGAAGUCGGAAUCGCUAGUAAUCGUGAAUCAGAAUGUCACGGUGAAUACGUUCCCGGGCCUUGUACACACCGCCCGUCACACCAUGGGAGUGGGUUGCUCCAG
rnacentral:rRNA from 1 species